rnacentral:rRNA from 1 species
GGUUAAGCGACUAAGCGUACACGGUGGAUGCCCUGGCAGUCAGAGGCGAUGAAGGACGUGCUAAUCUGCGAUAAGCGUCGGUGAGGUGAUAUGAACCGUUAUAACCGGCGAUUUCCGAAUGGGGAAACCCAGUGUGUUUCGACACACUAUCAUUAACUGAAUCCAUAGGUUAAUGAGGCGAACCGGGGGAACUGAAACAUCUAAGUACCCCGAGGAAAAGAAAUCAACCGAGAUUCCCCCAGUAGCGGCGAGCGAACGGGGAGGAGCCCAGAGCCUGAAUCAGUGUGUGUGUUAGUGGAAGCGUCUGGAAAGGCGCGCGAUACAGGGUGACAGCCCCGUACACAAAAAUGCACAUAUUGUGAGCUCGAUGAGUAGGGCGGGACACGUGGUAUCCUGUCUGAAUAUGGGGGGACCAUCCUCCAAGGCUAAAUACUCCUGACUGACCGAUAGUGAACCAGUACCGUGAGGGAAAGGCGAAAAGAACCCCGGCGAGGGGAGUGAAAAAGAACCUGAAACCGUGUACGUACAAGCAGUGGGAGCCUCUUAAUGGGGUGACUGCGUACCUUUUGUAUAAUGGGUCAGCGACUUAUAUUCUGUAGCAAGGUUAACCGAAUAGGGGAGCCGAAGGGAAACCGAGUCUUAACUGGGCGUUAAGUUGCAGGGUAUAGACCCGAAACCCGGUGAUCUAGCCAUGGGCAGGUUGAAGGUUGGGUAACACUAACUGGAGGACCGAACCGACUAAUGUUGAAAAAUUAGCGGAUGACUUGUGGCUGGGGGUGAAAGGCCAAUCAAACCGGGAGAUAGCUGGUUCUCCCCGAAAGCUAUUUAGGUAGCGCCUCGUGAAUUCAUCUCCGGGGGUAGAGCACUGUUUCGGCAAGGGGGUCAUCCCGACUUACCAACCCGAUGCAAACUGCGAAUACCGGAGAAUGUUAUCACGGGAGACACACGGCGGGUGCUAACGUCCGUCGUGAAGAGGGAAACAACCCAGACCGCCAGCUAAGGUCCCAAAGUCAUGGUUAAGUGGGAAACGAUGUGGGAAGGCCCAGACAGCCAGGAUGUUGGCUUAGAAGCAGCCAUCAUUUAAAGAAAGCGUAAUAGCUCACUGGUCGAGUCGGCCUGCGCGGAAGAUGUAACGGGGCUAAACCAUGCACCGAAGCUGCGGCAGCGACGCUNNNNNNNNNNNNNNNNNNNNNNNNNNNNNNNNNNNNNNNNNNNNNNNNNNNNNNNNNNNNNNNNNNNNNNNNNNNNNNNNNNNNNNNNNNNNNACUUGCUCGUGGAGCUGAAAUCAGUCGAAGAUACCAGCUGGCUGCAACUGUUUAUUAAAAACACAGCACUGUGCAAACACGAAAGUGGACGUAUACGGUGUGACGCCUGCCCGGUGCCGGAAGGUUAAUUGAUGGGGUUAGCGGUAACGCGAAGCUCUUGAUCGAAGCCCCGGUAAACGGCGGCCGUAACUAUAACGGUCCUAAGGUAGCGAAAUUCCUUGUCGGGUAAGUUCCGACCUGCACGAAUGGCGUAAUGAUGGCCAGGCUGUCUCCACCCGAGACUCAGUGAAAUUGAACUCGCUGUGAAGAUGCAGUGUACCCGCGGCAAGACGGAAAGACCCCGUGAACCUUUACUAUAGCUUGACACUGAACAUUGAGCCUUGAUGUGUAGGAUAGGUGGGAGGCUUUGAAGUGUGGACGCCAGUCUGCAUGGAGCCGACCUUGAAAUACCACCCUUUAAUGUUUGAUGUUCUAACGUGGGCCCCUAAUCGGGGUUGCGGACAGUGUCUGGUGGGUAGUUUGACUGGGGCGGUCUCCUCCUAAAGAGUAACGGAGGAGCACGAAGGUUGGCUAAUCCUGGUCGGACAUCAGGAGGUUAGUGCAAUGGCAUAAGCCAGCUUGACUGCGAGCGUGACGGCGCGAGCAGGUGCGAAAGCAGGUCAUAGUGAUCCGGUGGUUCUGAAUGGAAGGGCCAUCGCUCAACGGAUAAAAGGUACUCCGGGGAUAACAGGCUGAUACCGCCCAAGAGUUCAUAUCGACGGCGGUGUUUGGCACCUCGAUGUCGGCUCAUCACAUCCUGGGGCUGAAGUAGGUCCCAAGGGUAUGGCUGUUCGCCAUUUAAAGUGGUACGCGAGCUGGGUUUAGAACGUCGUGAGACAGUUCGGUCCCUAUCUGCCGUGGGCGCUGGAGAACUGAGGGGGGCUGCUCCUAGUACGAGAGGACCGGAGUGGACGCAUCACUGGUGUUCGGGUUGUCAUGCCAAUGGCACUGCCCGGUAGCUAAAUGCGGAAGAGAUAAGUGCUGAAAGCAUCUAAGCACGAAACUUGCCCCGAGAUGAGUUCUCCCUGAGACUUAGAGUCUCCUGAAGGAACGUUGAAGACGACGACGUUGAUAGGCCGGGUGUGUAAGCGCAGCGAUGCGUUGAGCUAACCGGUACUAAUGAACCGUGAGGCUUAACCUU